GUCUGGAUAGCUCAGUUGGUUAGAGCGUAGCGCUGAGAACACCCAAGAUUGCAGGUUCAAUCCCAGUAUAGGAUG